GCGAGUGAUUCAAAAGUUUUCGGCUGGUAGGCCUAUAAGUAUUUUUCCACGAAUUUAAAAAAAAAACUUUUUUGAGCCGACGUAUGAUACGUCCAAUCGGCAUACGGGAGACAUUUUGACUCGACGUUUAAUACGUCCAAUCGGCGUAAGAGGGUUAAAAUGCACUAAAAAAGGGGGGGGGGAAUAUUUGAGACCCCCAGGAUUUUCUUAUAAAAUAAUCGUCUACAGAAAUAAAAGCUUUUCCUUCCAUGUUUGGCAUCCACUUUUAUUUUUGUAAGAAAAUCUUGGUGUCUCAAAAAAAUCUCUGGUAUUUGACUAUCGGCUCUGUAUUGGGAACUUCAUCAACAGUAAAUUUCAAGACUCCACCUGCAUAUAUGUUGUGAUAUCAAUGAAGCUGACAGGUAUAUACAUAAAAGGGUGUUCAUUCAGAAGGAAGCAAAACUGAUUGUGUUGGAAGAGCCUCCCUUAAAAUUCCUUUUGUCUGUUAUUACCAUGAACUGAGACUUAUUAUAUUGAGAGGCUAAACAUGUGUUUUCUUGAAAUUUAUCCUCUUGAAUGCUAGUGAGAAAGCUUUUACUAAUAGUGGAAAUUAUCAAUCGGUGGAAAAUAUGUAAAGCAAGAAGGCAGCUUUUAGUUUUGACAGUGUUACUUGCAAAUUAAUAUGGUUAAAGUUUGGUGACGGUGUUACUUCGCAAAUUAAUAUGGUUAAACGCUUGGUGACAGUGUAACUUUGAUGUUAAAAAAAUUCAAAAUCA